AGUGAACGCUGGCGGUAGGCCUAACACAUGCAAGUCGAACGGCAGCACAGUAAGAGCUUGCUCUUACGGGUGGCGAGUGGCGGACGGGUGAGGAAUACAUCGUAAUCUACUUUUUCGUGGGGGAUAACGUAGGGAAACUUACGCUAAUACCGCAUACGACCUACGGGUGAAAGCAGGGGAUCUUCGGACCUUGCGCGAUUGAAUGAGCCGAUGUCGGAUUAGCUAGUUGGCGGGGUAAAGGCCCACCAAGGCGACGAUCCGUAGCUGGUCUGAGAGGAUGAUCAGCCACACUGGAACUGAGACACGGUCCAGAGUCCUACGGGAGGCAGCAGUGGGGAAUAUUGGACAAUGGGCGCAAGCCUGAUCCAGCCAUCCCGCGUGGGUGAAGAAGGCCUUCGGGUUGUAAAGCCCUUUUGUUGUGAAAGAAAAGCAGCAGGUUAAUACCCCGCUGUUCUGACGGUACCCAAAGAAUAAGCACCGGCUAACUUCGUG
rnacentral:rRNA from 1 species